UGAUUAGUGACACCUUGCGUCCCAAGAAAAGCCCAAAGGUCACAGCUGGGUUAAUGUGUCCUCCUGUGUAGAGUACAAACAAGUGUUCAUCAUCAUCAGUACUGCUCUUUACUGAUAACUGGAUAACAAACUAGCUACUAACAUAGGGAAAAGAGUUUUAAAGUGUUCUUCCUCUUCUUGUUUCAUAAAUUUUCUUUGUAUAUAUGUGUGGUUAAAGUUAAUUCUUCUGUAGUGAGGUGCUAGAAAAUCAAGAAAUUAAGCACAAAACCAAAACAUGUUCUUUGGAAGGAAAAACAAAAGGAAAAAUUUUCUUUGGAACCAAACAAAGAAAGAAAAGAAGAAACCUACCAGAGAUACCAGCAGUGCAGUA
rnacentral:misc_RNA from 1 species